rnacentral:rRNA from 1 species
UACAGAGGUCCCGAGCGUUGUUCGGAUUCACUGGGCGUAAAGGGUGCGUAGGUGGCUUGAAAAGUUUGAUGUGAAAGCUCAGGGCUUAACCCUGAAAUGGCAUUGAAUACUGUCGAGCUGGAGGUUUGGAGGGGGGACUGGAAUUCUUGGUGUAGCAGUGAAAUGCGUAGAUAUCAAGAGGAACACCAGUGGCGAAGGCGAGUCCCUGGACAAACACCUGACACUGAGGCACGAAAGCUAGGGGAGCGAACGGG